rnacentral:rRNA from 1 species
AUGUACCAGGAGGUGCAUAGUACAGCUUGGCUUUGGAGCUCUGCGAUCACGGUUCAUGCAAGUGGAACUGCGAUCCUUGGAGCAAAGCUGUCUGAUGUGGAUUUGGAUUCGGGACUUGGUUGGUUGGGUGUGUGCCUCCAGCACGGCAUGCGUCUUGAUAUGGUUCACGUGAGUGAGCAGAGCACGCGGGCAAGAACAAAACAGGUGACAAUAUUAUGCCACGGAAGUGGAAAAGAAGCCAGUGACUUCAUCUUUCUUCAGUCCUGGCCAGGCUCCCCUGUUUGCUCUCACUAUACCCCCCGUCUACUAAUAGUUAUCUGCAGUUUUUGCGGUCCUAUCCCUUGCUGUUCAAUUCCCACCAUUAUUUGCUACCUAAAACACCUCAAGAUCAACACUUACACGGUUAUUACAGACAAGAAAGACAAGUUGAUGCCUCCAAGAAUUAGCUAG